rnacentral:misc_RNA from 1 species
GUGCUGAAAGCACCGUUCUAUGAAAGGUUUAUUCCAAGACAUGUUCCUUUAUACAGAUGCAUAUUAGCUGAUUCUAUUUUCAUUUUUUCCCAUUCAUUAUUUCUUUAAUGAAAAGAGAUAUUAAAACGUUCGUGUACAAAGGAUUCAUCAUUAUUCUCUAAGGACAAAUUUUUAAGGCUUUUGUAAGUCUAAUUCAAAUUUUCAACAAAAUAUGACAAUUUAUAUUGGAAGAGAAAUUGAUAUGAAACAAAUCCUUAAAAACAGCAUGUGUUAUAAAAUCCUUAAAAAUUGAUGCCUAGGAAUAUUGACAAAUCCACAGUAUUUUAUAGAAGUUUAUCUAUUGCAUACAUAUUUACAAGUUUUACCUAGUUAUUUACCUGUGUAUGAAGGAAAUAGAUUGUCUCCCUGCCCCAAGCAGUAUCUACACACCUCUUCUAGAAUUGGGUGGAGUCAACAAGGAACAUAUCUUUUUGUUACAAACUUUUUGUCAAGACAGCUGAAAUUUAUCCUCUGAAUAGUAUUACAAUGCUACACCAUUAUUAAAGUAUUACCGUACUUUAUAACAAAUGUUUUGAUAUUUUUAGAAAUAAAACUGUUUACCCAU